rnacentral:rRNA from 1 species
AGUGGCGCAAGGGUGCGUAACACGUGGGCAAUCUGCCGAGAAGUGGGGGAUAGCUCGCCGAAAGGCGAAUUAAUACCGCAUGUGGCCAGGGAAGACAUCUUCCCGACGCCAAAGCCGGGGCAACCUGGCGCUUCUUGAUGAGCCCGCGGCCUAUCAGCUAGUUGGUGAGGUAACGGCUCACCAAGGCUAUGACGGGUAGCUGGUCUGAGAGGACGACCAGCCACACUGGAACUGAGACACGGUCCAGACACCUACGGGUGGCAGCAGUCGAGAAUUUUUCUCAAUGGGCGCAAGCCUGAAGGAGCGACGCCGCGUGGAGGAUGAAGGUCUUCGGAUUGUAAACUCCUGUCAUUAGGGAACAAGGUCCGCGAUUAACUGUCGUCGGAAUUGAUAGUACCUGAAGAGGAAGAGACGGCUAACUCUGUGCCAGCAGCCGCGGUAAUACAGAGGUCUCAAGCGUUGUUCGGAUUCAUUGGGCGUAAAGGGUGCGUAGGUGGCAAGGUAAGUCGGGUGUGAAAUCCCGGGGCUCAACCCUGGAACUGCACUCGAUACUGCCAUGCUCGAGUACUGGAGAGGAGACUGGAAUUUACGGUGUAGCAGUGAAAUGCGUAGAUAUCGUAAGGAAGACCAGUGGCGAAGGCGAGUCUCUGGACAGUUACUGACACUGAGGCACGAAGGCCAGGGGAGCAAACGGGAUUAGAUACCCCGGUAGUCCUGGCAGUAAACGGUGCGCGUUUGG